rnacentral:rRNA from 1 species
ACGAACGCUGGCGGCGUGCCUAAUACAUGCAAGUCGAACGCUUCUUUUUCCAUCGGAGCUUGCUCCACCGGAAAAAGAGGAGUGGCGAACGGGUGAGUAACACGUGGGUAACCUGCCCAUCAGAAGGGGAUAACACUUGGAAACAGGUGCUAAUACCGUAUAACAAUCGAAACCGCAUGGUUUUGAUUUGAAAGGCGCUUUCGGGUGUCGCUGAUGGAUGGACCCGCGGUGCAUUAGCUAGUUGGUGAGGUAACGGCUCACCAAGGCGACGAUGCAUAGCCGACCUGAGAGGGUGAUCGGCCACAUUGGGACUGAGACACGGCCCAAACUCCUACGGGAGGCAGCAGUAGGGAAUCUUCGGCAAUGGACGAAAGUCUGACCGAGCAACGCCGCGUGAGUGAAGAAGGUUUUCAGAUCGUAAUACUCUGUUGUUAGGGAAGAACAAGGAUGAGAGUAACUGUUCAUCCCUUGACGGUAUCUAACCAGAAAGCCACGGCUAACUACGUGCCAGCAGCCGCGGUAAUACGUAGGUGGCAAGCGUUGUCCGGAUUUAUUGGGCGUAAAGCGAGCGCAGGCGGUUUCUUAAGUCUGAUGUGAAAGCCCCCGGCUCAACCGGGGAGGGUCAUUGGAAACUGGGAGACUUGAGUGCAGAAGAGGAGAGUGGAAUUCCAUGUGUAGCGGUGAAAUGCGUAGAUAUAUGGAGGAACACCAGUGGCGAAGGCGGCUCUCUGGUCUGUAACUGACGCUGAGGCUCGAAAGCGUGGGGAGCAAACAGGAUUAGAUACCCUGGUAGUCCACGCCGUAAACGAUGAGUGCUAAGUGUUGGAGGGUUUCCGCCCUUCAGUGCUGCAGCUAACGCAUUAAGCACUCCGCCUGGGGAGUACGACCGCAAGGUUGAAACUCAAAGGAAUUGACGGGGGCCCGCACAAGCGGAGGAACAUGUGGUUUAAUUCGAUGAUACGCGAGGAACCUUACCCGGGCUUGAAUUGCAACUGAAUGAUGUGGAGACAUGUCAGCCGCAAGGCAGUUGUGAAGGUGCUGCAUGGUUGUCGUCAGCUCGUGUCGUGAGAUGUUGGGUUAAGUCCCGCAACGAGCGCAACCCUUAUUGUUAGUUGCCAUCAUUUAGUUGGGCACUCUAGCAAGACUGCCGGUGACAAACCGGAGGAAGGUGGGGAUGACGUCAAAUCAUCAUGCCCCUUAUGACCUGGGCUACACACGUGCUACAAUGGGAAGUACAACGAGUCGCAAAGUCGCGAGGCUAAGCUAAUCUCUUAAAGCUUCUCUCAGUUCGGAUUGUAGGCUGCAACUCGCCUACAUGAAGCCGGAAUCGCUAGUAAUCGCGGAUCAGCACGCCGCGGUGAAUACGUUCCCGGGCCUUGUACACACCGCCCGUCAAGCCAUGAAAGCCGGGGGUACCUGAAGUGCGUAACCGCGAGGAGCGCCCUAGGGUAAAACUGGUGAUUGGGGCU